UCAGAUAUGGUGUAAUGGUUAACAUUACCGCCUCUCAUCGUAUAUUUGGAUCGUGUCGCGGCAGCUUGGGGUUUGAUUCCCUGUAUCCGAA